AGGGCUAAGAAAAAAAAGGAGUCCUCCACAAGCCCCUGCUUUCCCCACCUGCUUUUAGAUCAUCACAGCAGGACAUACAUAAAGUUGCUGCCCACACAUCAGCUGCUCUUGAACAGGCCUCUGCCCAGAUCUCUGGCAACAUUCAAAGUCAAUUCGAACGGGAUCAUGCACUCCUGCGUGCUGUGGAGGAGUUGAAGGCCUUGGCAGCACACCUUAGUGCGCUUGGGGGCUGCAAUCCUGGUGACGCGGUUCGAAGAAUCCUUCGCCACAUCCUCACCAACCACUUCGCGCUGAAAUUCAACUGGCUUGGCAGAGGAGGGAAGAAGCUGGCUUUUGCCUCCUACAAGGUGUGCAAUGCAGUAAGAGGUGCAUCGGCUAGCCAGAACAUUUCGGCCAGCGACUGCGAGGCAAUUAUUAAAAACUGGCUGAAGUGCAGCGGUGACCGGAGUGGAGGAAGAAAGAGGAGAGAAAGCAGAGUGCAUGAAGGUAUGCAUGAACAGCAAACCAUCAAAUACUGGAAAUGAGACUUACAUAGCUUUGCCUUGAAGCGUUUGAGGGGCAAGAGGGAUGUGCUGAACCUUUUACAGUUUGAUGGAGCUUUACCUAACAUGGAAUUUAAAAGUUAUUCUUCAAGGUGUUUGAUUUCCUGUUGAACCAGACCCUGAAAUCCACCAUCCUAGUGCACCUUUAAGUAAUUUACUAGUAAAUAAAUCCAGAUAGACUAUUUACAACACAAUGGAGA